rnacentral:rRNA from 1 species
UACGGAGGAUCCGAGCGUUAUCCGGAUUUAUUGGGUUUAAAGGGUGCGUAGGCGGCCUUUUAAGUCAGCGGUGAAAGUCUGUGGCUCAACCAUAGAAUUGCCGUUGAAACUGGGGGGCUUGAGUGCACACAGGGGUGCCGGAAUUCAUGGUGUAGCGGUGAAAUGCUUAGAUAUCAUGAAGAACUCCGAUCGCGAAGGCAAGUGUCCGGGGUGCAACUGACGCUGAGGCUCGAAAGUGCGGGUAUCAAACAGG